rnacentral:rRNA from 1 species
UGGGGAAUUUUGGACAAUGGGCGCAAGCCUGAUCCAGCAAUGCCGCGUGCAGGAUGAAGGCCUUCGGGUUGUAAACUGCUUUUGUACGGAACGAAAAGGCUCUGGUUAAUACCUGGGGCUCAUGACGGUACCGUAAGAAUAAGCACCGGCUAACUACGUGCCAGCAGCCGCGGUAAUACGUAGGGUGCAAGCGUUAAUCGGAAUUACUGGGCGUAAAGCGUGCGCAGGCGGUUAUGUAAGACAGACGUGAAAUCCCCGGGCUCAACCUGGGACCUGCAUUUGGGACUGCAUAGCUAGAGUACGGCAGAGGGGGAUGGAAUUCCGCGUGUAGCAGUGAAAUGCGUAGAUAUGCGGAGGAACACCGAUGGCGAAGGCAAUCCCCUGGGCCUGUACUGACGCUCAUGCACGAAAGCGUGGGGAGCAAACA